GCGGGUGUAGUUCAAUGGUAGAAUUCCAGCCUUCCAAGCUGGCAGCGAGGGUUCGAUUCCCUCCACCCGCUCCA
rnacentral:tRNA from 1 species